rnacentral:misc_RNA from 1 species
CUGAGUUAUUACAACUCCAAACCCAUGUGAACUUACUUAUAUGUUGCCUCGGCGGGAAGACCUACCCGGGAUCUACCCGGGAGCUACCCUGUAGCGCGGGUCGCCCCGCCGGCGGACUACCAAACUCUUGUUUUUACGUGACACUUCUGAGUACACUAUUAAAAUAAGUCA